rnacentral:rRNA from 1 species
AAGCGGAGGAAAAGAAACCAACAGGGAUUGCCCUAGUAACGGCGAGUGAAGCGGCAACAGCUCAAAUUUGAAAUCUGGCUCUUUCAGAGUCCGAGUUGUAAUUUGCAGAGGGCGCUUUGGCUUUGGCAGCGGUCCAAGUUCCUUGGAACAGGACGUCACAGAGGGUGAGAAUCCCGUACGUGGUCGCUAGCUAUUGCCGUGUAAAGCCCCUUCGACGAGUCGAGUUGUUUGGGAAUGCAGCUCUAAAUGGGAGGUAAAUUUCUUCUAAAGCUAAAUAUUGGCCAGAGACCGAUAGCGCACAAGUAGAGUGAUCGAAAGAUGAAAAGCACUUUGGAAAGAGAGUCAAACAGCACGUGAAAUUGUUGAAAGGGAAGCGCUUGCAGCCAGACUUGCUUGCAGUUGCUCAUCCGGGCUUUUGCCCGGUGCACUCUUCUGUAGGCAGGCCAGCAUCAGUUUGGGCGGUGGGAUAAAGGUCUCUGUCACGUACCUCUCUUCGGGGAGGCCUUAUAGGGGAGACGACAUACCACCAGCCUAGACUGAGGUCCGCGCAUCUGCUAGGAUGCUGGCGUAAUGGCUGUAAGCGGCCCGUCUUGAAACACGGACCAAGGAGUCUAACAUCUAUGCGAGUGUUUGGGUGUCAAGCCCGAGCGCGUAAUGAAAGUGAACGGAGGUGGGAACCCGCAAGGGUGCACCAUCGACCGAUCCUGAAGUUUACGGAAGGAUUUGAGUAAGAGCAUGGCUGUUGGGACCCGAAAGAUGGUGAACUAUGCUUGAAUAGGGUGAAGCCAGAGGAAACUCUGGUGGAGGCUCGCAGCGGUUCUGACCGUGCAAAUCGAUCGUCAAAUUUGGGCAUAGGGGCGAAAGACUAAUCGAACUAUCUAGUAGCUGGUUCCUGCCGAAGUUUCCCUCAGGAA